UCAAGUAAUUAAGUGCAUGUGGUGGAUGCCUUGGCAGUCAGAGGCGAUGAAAGACGUGAUAGCCUGCGAAAAGCUCCGGGGAGGCGGCAAAUAUCCUUUGAUCCGGAGAUGUCUGAAUGGGGGAACCCACCUACUUUAAGGUAGGUAUUGCAACAUGAAUACAUAGUGUUGCAAGGCGAACGAGGGGAAGUGAAACAUCUCAGUACCCUUAGGAAAAGAAAUCAAUUGAGAUUCCCUCAGUAGCGGCGAGCGAACGGGGAUCAGCCCAUUAAGUUAUGUGUGUUUUAGUGGAACGCUCUGGGAAGUGCGAACGUAGAGGGUGAUAUUCCCGUACACGAAAGGGCACACAUAAUGAUGACGAGUAGGGCGAGGCACGUGAAACCUUGUCUGAAUAUGGGGGGACCAUCCUCCAAGGCUAAAUACUCCUGACUGACCGAUAGUGAACCAGUACCGUGAGGGAAAGGCGAAAAGAACCCCUGUGAGGGGAGUGAAAUAGAUCCUGAAACCGCAUGCAUACAAGCAGUGGGAGCACCUUCGUGGUGUGACUGCGUACCUUUUGUAUAAUGGGUCAGCGACUUAUAUUCAGUAGCAAGGUUAACCGUAUAGGGGAGCCGUAGAGAAAUCGAGUCUUAAUAGGGCGUUUAGUUGCUGGGUAUAGACCCGAAACCAGGCGAUCUAUCCAUGAGCAGGUUGAAGGUUGGGUAACACUAACUGGAGGACCGAACCCACUGUCGUUGAAAAGCCAGGGGAUGACUUGUGGAUAGGGGUGAAAGGCUAAUCAAGCCUGGUGAUAGCUGGUUCUCCCCGAAAGCUAUUUAGGUAGCGCCUCGGACGAAUACCAUAGGGGGUAGAGCACUGUUUCGGCUAGGGGGUCAUCCCGACUUACCAAACCGAUGCAAACUCCGAAUACCUAUGAGUACUAUCCGGGAGACAGACUGCGGGUGCUAACGUCCGUAGUCAAGAGGAAAACAAUCCAGACCGCCAGCUAAGGCCCCAAAAUCAUAGUUAAGUGGGAAACGAUGUGGGAAGGCAUAGACAGCUAGGAGGUUGGCUUAGAAGCAGCCACCCUUUAAAGAAAGCGUAAUAGCUCACUAGUCGAGUCGGCCUGCGCGGAAGAUGUAACGGGGCUAAAACUAUGUGCCGAAGCUGCGGAUUUGCUGGAGGUAUCAGAAGUGCGAAUGCUGACGUGAGUAACGACAAAACGGGUGAAAAACCCGUUCGCCGAAAGACCAAGGGUUCCAGUCCAACGUUAAUCGGGGCUGGGUGAGUCGACCCCUAAGGCGAGGCCGAAAGGCGUAGUCGAUGGGAAAAUGGUUAAUAUUCCAUUACUUCUGUGUAAUGCGAUGAGAGGACGGAGAAGGCUAAAUCAGCCUGGCGUUGGUUGUCCAGGUGAAAGGAUGUAGGCAUGUAUCUUAGGCAAAUCCGGGGUACUCUAUGCUGAGAUCUGAUAGCAAGCUGUACUUGUACAGCGAAGUGGUUGAUGCCAUGCUUCCAGGAAAAGUCUCUAAGCUUCAGUUACACAGGAAUCGUACCCGAAACCGACACAGGUGGUCAGGUCGAGUAGACCAAGGCGCUUGAGAGAACUCUGCUGAAGGAACUAGGCAAAAUGGUACCGUAACUUCGGGAGAAGGUACGCUGUUGUUGGUGAUGGAACUCGCUUCCUGAGCUGACGACAGCCGCAGAAACCAGGCCGCUGCAACUGUUUAUUAAAAACAUAGCACUCUGCAAACACGAAAGUGGACGUAUAGGGUGUGAUGCCUGCCCGGUGCUGGAAGGUUAAUUGAUGGGGUUAGCGUAAGCGAAGCUCUUGAUCGAAGCCCCAGUAAACGGCGGCCGUAACUAUAACGGUCCUAAGGUAGCGAAAUUCCUUGUCGGGUAAGUUCCGACCUGCACGAAUGGCAUAAUGAUGGCGGCGCUGUCUCCAGCAGAGGCUCAGUGAAAUCGAAAUCGCUGUGAAGAUGCAGUGUACCCGCGGCUAGACGGAAAGACCCCGUGAACCUUUACUGCAGCUUGACACUGAACUUUGACCUUACUUGUGUAGGAUAGGUGGGAGGCUUUGAAGCUGGAACGCUAGUUCCAGUGGAGCCGUCCUUGAAAUACCACCCUGGUAAUGUUGAGGUUCUAACUCUGUCCCGUGAUCCGGGACGAGGACCGUGUCUGGUGGGUAGUUUGACUGGGGCGGUCUCCUCCUAAAGAGUAACGGAGGAGUACGAAGGUGCGCUCAGCGUGGUCGGAAAUCACGCGUAGAGUAUAAAGGCAAAAGCGCGCUUAACUGCGAGACCCACAAGUCGAGCAGGUACGAAAGUAGGUCUUAGUGAUCCGGUGGUUCUGUAUGGAAGGGCCAUCGCUCAACGGAUAAAAGGUACUCUGGGGAUAACAGGCUGAUACCGCCCAAGAGUUCAUAUCGACGGCGGUGUUUGGCACCUCGAUGUCGGCUCAUCUCAUCCUGGGGCUGAAGCAGGUCCCAAGGGUAUGGCUGUUCGCCAUUUAAAGAGGUACGCGAGCUGGGUUUAGAACGUCGUGAGACAGUUCGGUCCCUAUCUACCGUGGGCGCUGGAAAUUUGAGAGGAUCUGCUCCUAGUACGAGAGGACCAGAGUGGACGAACCUCUGGUGUACCGGUUGUGACGCCAGUCGCAUCGCCGGGUAGCUAUGUUCGGAAGGGAUAACCGCUGAAAGCAUCUAAGCGGGAAGCCUACCUCAAGAUAAGAUUUCCCUAGGACUUUAUGUCCUCUAAAGAGCCGUUCGAGACUAGGACGUUGAUAGGUUGGAUGUGGAAGCAUAGUGAUAUGUGAAGCUGACCAAUACUAAUUGCUCGUGAGGCUUGACUAU
rnacentral:rRNA from 1 species